rnacentral:rRNA from 1 species
GUGGAACUCCAUGUGUAGCGGUAAAAUGCGUUGAUAUAUGGAAGAACACCAGUGGCGAAGGCGGCCGCCUGGCCUGUUGCUGACGCUGAGGCACGAAAGCGUGGGGAGCAAAUAGGAUUAGAUACCCUAGUAGUCCACGCCGUAAACGAUGAGGACCAAGUGUUGGGGGUGAAACCUCAGUGCUGAAGUUAACGCAGUGAGUCCUCCGCCUGGGGAGUAUGCACGCAAGUGUGAAACUCAAAGGAAUUGACGGGGGCCCGCACAAGCGGUGGAGUAUGUGGUUUAAUUCGAAGCAACGCGAAGAACCUUACCAGGCCUUGACAUGGGAUGCGAAGACGCAGAGAUGCGUUGGAGGCAAACAUCCACACAGGUGGUGCAUGGUUGUCGUCAGCUCGUGUCGUGAGAUGUUGGGUCAAGUCCCGCAACGAGCGCAACCCUUGUGGCAUGUUGCUAACAGGAAAGCUGAGGACUCAUGCCAGACUGCCGGUGACAAACCGGAGGAAGGCGGGGAUGACGUCAAAUCAUCAUGCCCCUUAUGGCCUGGGCUACACACGUACUACAAUGGCGGCUACAAAGAGCGGCGAGACAGUAAUGUCGAGCGAAUCUCACAAAAGCCGUCCCAGUUCGGAUUGGAGCCUGCAACCCGGCUCCAUGAAGUUGGAAUCGCUAGUAAUCGCGGAUCAGCAUGCCGCGGUGAAUACGUUCCCGGGCCUUGCACACACCGCCCGUCAAG